GACGGUAUAGCUCAGCGGUUGAGCCCAUACUUAGCAUGCAGGAGGUCCUGGGUUCAAUUCCCAGUACCUCCA
rnacentral:tRNA from 1 species